AUUGAACGCUGGCGGAAUGCUUUACACAUGCAAGUCGAACGGCAGCACGGACUUCGGUCUGGUGGCGAGUGGCGAACGGGUGAGUAAUGUAUCGGAACGUGCCCAGUCGUGGGGGAUAACGUAGUGAAAAUUACGCUAAUACCGCAUACGAUCUAUGGAUGAAAGCGGGGGAUCGCAAGACCUCGCGCGAUUGGAGCGGCCGAUAUCAGAUUAGGUAGUUGGUGGGGUAAAGGCCCACCAAGCCAACGAUCUGUAGCUGGUCUGAGAGGACGACCAGCCAAACUGGAACUGAGACACGGUGCAGACUCCUACGGGAGGCAGCAGUGGGGAAUUUUGGACAAUGGGCGAAAGCCUGAUCCAGCCAUUCCGCGUGCAGGAUGAAGGCCCUCGGGUUGUAAACUGCUUUUGUACAGAACGAAAAGGUUUCUACUAAUACUAGGAGCUCAUGACGGUACUGUAAGAAUAAGCACCGGCUAACUACGUGCCAGCCGCCGCAGUAA
rnacentral:rRNA from 1 species